rnacentral:rRNA from 1 species
CCUACGGUGGGCAGCAGUGGGGGAUAUUGCACAAUGGGGGAAACCCUGAUGCAGCGACGCCGCGUGGGUGAAGAAGCGCCUCGGCGCGUAAAGCCCUGUCAGCAGGGAAGAAAAUGACGGUACCUGAAGAAGAAGCCCCGGCUAACUACGUGCCAGCAGCCGCGGUAAUACGUAGGGGGCAAGCGUUAUCCGGAUUUACUGGGUGUAAAGGGAGCGUAGGCGGUUUAGCAAGUCAGAAGUGAAAGCCCGGGGCUCAACUCCGGGACUGCUUUUGAAACUGUUGAACUAGAUUGCAGGAGAGGUAAGUGGAAUUCCUAGUGUAGCGGUGAAAUGCGUAGAUAUUAGGAGGAACACCAGUGGCGAAGGCGGCUUACUGGACUGUAAAUGACGCUGAGGCUCGAAAGCGUGGGGAGCAAACAGGAUUAGAUACCCCGGUAGUC